UAGCAGUAUCAUAGUUGGUACCGCGACCAGUUCUAAGCUCGACGCCACUGCUCAACGUUAAAAAUAGGCAAAGAGAAAAUAGGAACCGGAGCGGGAGCGGGAGGAGGUGGACGGGAAACUGGCCUCCAUGACCGUAGAGUACGAAGUAGCGUAGCUCGAUAAAUUUUGAGCCCGUGAAAAUUAUCGUUCUCUUUUAUUGAAUUUAUUUAUCUUAAAUAUAUCCUCGCUUUCGAUUUGAGACAAGCAGCCACAAAAUGGCCGUCACCAAUUUGACAAACGCUGAUGAGUUCUAUGCAUAUGUCAAGUCGCAGGAUCUAUCUGUGGUUCAUUUUUACGCGGCUUGGGCGGCCCAAUGCGUUCAAAUAAACGACGUCCUCGACGAGAUGGUGAAAUCAUCGGACCUCAACGGUGUGAAUUUUGCGAAAAUAGCUGCAGAAGAUGUUCCAGAAGUUUCGUUAAAAUUUGGAGUAUCAGCGGUACCAACUAUAUUGCUUUUGAAGAAUUCUGAGGUUACCGAUCGAGUCGACGGCGCUAAUCCGGCAGAAUUAUUGACGAGAGUUAAACAGCAGAUGUCGUUAAAAAAUCCGAUUUCUGCCGCAGAAAUUCAAAAAUCAAAAGAAGAUAUUGAAGUAAGGUUGAAAAAAUUGAUCAAUCAAGCACCUUGCAUGCUUUUCAUGAAGGGAAACCCUUCCAAUCCAAGGUGUGGAUUUUCAAGGACGAUUGUCUCGAUCUUAAACUCUCAUAAAGCAGAUUAUCAAACCUUUGAUAUCCUCCAAGACAACGAAGUCAGGGAAGGUUUGAAAAAAUUCAGCGAUUGGCCAACUUAUCCGCAACUUUAUUUAAAUGGUGAACUUCUUGGCGGUUUGGAUAUCGUCAGAGAAUUGGGAGAAACUGGUGAUCUAGAAGCAAUGUUGCCUAAAGUCGGUUCAGAAGAAAGGACCAAAACGUCAUCACCAAGGAUAGGAUAGCAAUCGUUAUAAAAGGAAUGACGGAUGACGAAAAAAAGGAGCUGUUCGCAAAACAAAUUAUGGACACGAUAGAUAAAAUAAAUUAAACCUCAUAACAUCGAUAUCACGGUACGCUUCGAGACGAUGAUGAGCGCUUCGUACGAAACGUCUGACAUCCUCCGACAUAUCGUUAGACGAACAAUCAAGAAUUGCUCCCGAGUCCUACUCGACGAGGCCAACUUACCCCCAGAUUUACGUCGACGAUGAUUCUAUCAGAGGAUUCGAAACCUUGAAGACCUUGUCGCAGCGAUGAAAUUUUUUUGGCAAGCUUAUGUCAUCCGUACAAAAGGAGGAGCAGAUUUUUUCAACUUCGCAAAGAUACGCUGCUGAUUUUUCAAACAGACGAAGGAGAAAAAUGUUAGCAAUGUAAUUCGUGACCUGGAAUCUCGGAAUCCGCAACGUAACGAGUGAAAUGGAAUGAAAUAGAAUAAAAAAUGGGAAAUCGUAUUUGUACGGUAUAAGAAUAGUUUCGAUGUAUGAACGAAAUUCCGAUUCUUGGUAAAUAAAUGAUCAUUCGAGACGUA